rnacentral:rRNA from 2 species
UACGAAGGGGGCUAGCGUUGCUCGGAAUGACUGGGCGUAAAGGGCGCGUAGGCGGUUUGUUUAGUUAGGCGUGAAAUUCCUGGGCUCAACCUGGGGGCUGCGCUUAAUACAGGCAGACUGGAGUGUGAGAGAGGGUUGUGGAAUUCCCAGUGUAGAGGUGAAAUUCGUAGAUAUUGGGAAGAACACCGGUGGCGAAGGCGGCAACCUGGCUCAUUACUGACGCUGAGGCGCGAAAGCGUGGGGAGCAAACAGG